AGGGUGUAAAACGCUGCAGACUUGGUGUUGGAAGUCCUUUGGGGGCAUUCAGUGCCGGAGAGAAGUUGUUAAGUCUGCUACUUGGGGAGUACGUCCGCAAGGAUGAAACUUAAAGGAAUUGGCGGGGGAGCACCGCAACGGGAGGAGCGUGCGGUUUAAUUGGAUUCAACACCGUAAAACUCACCAGGGAAGACUGUUACAUGAAGGCCGAGAUGAAGACUCUGCUAGAUUUUCAGAGAGGAGGUGCAUGGCGUCAGUGACU
rnacentral:rRNA from 1 species